AUUGAACGCUGGCGGCAUGCUUUACACAUGCAAGUCGAACGGUAACAGGCCGCAAGGUGCUGACGAGUGGCGAACGGGUGAGUAAUGCAUCGGAACGUGCACAGUCGUGGGGGAUAACUACUCGCAAGAGUAGCUAAUACCGCAUACGAUCUAUGGAUGAAAGCGGGGGACCGUAAGGCCUCGCGCGAUUUGAGCGGCCGAUGUCAGAUUAGGUAGUUGGUGGGGUAAAGGCUCACCAAGCCAACGAUCUGUAGCUGGUCUGAGAGGACGACCAGCCACACUGGGACUGAGACACGGCCCAGACUCCUACGGGAGGCAGCAGUGGGGAAUUUUGGACAAUGGGCGCAAGCCUGAUCCAGCAAUGCCGCGUGCAGGAAGAAGGCCUUCGGGUUGUAAACUGCUUUUGUACGGAACGAAACGGCUCUGGUUAAUACCCGGGGCUAAUGACGGUACCGUAAGAAUAAGCACCGGCUAACUACGUG
rnacentral:rRNA from 1 species